rnacentral:rRNA from 1 species
AAGCUCGUAGUUGAAUUUCGGGGUUAGUAGGUUGGUCAUGCCUCUGGUAUGUACUGGUCUCACUGAUUCCUCCUUCCUGAUGAACCGUAAUGCCAUUAGUUUGGUGUUGCGGGGAAUUUGGACUGUUACUUUGAAAAAAUUAGAGUGUUUAAAGCAAGCUAACGCUUGAAUACAUUAGCAUGGAAUAAUGAAAUAGGACGUUCGAUCCUAUUUUGUUGGUUUCUAGGAUUGACGUAAUGAUUAAUAGGGAUAGUUGGG